rnacentral:rRNA from 1 species
UACGUAGGUGGCAAGCGUUGUCCGGAAUCACUGGGCGUAAAGCGCGCGCAGGCGGCGAUCUACGUCUGGGGUGAAAGCCCGGAGCUCAACUCCGGGACUGCCUUGGAUACGGGAUCGCUUGAGGAUUGGAGAGGCAAGGGGAAUUCCUGGUGUAGCGGUGAAAUGCGUAGAUAUCAGGAGGAACACCUGCGGUGUAGACGGCUUACUGGACCAUCACUGACGCUGAGGCACGAAAGCGUGGGUAGCAAACAGG